UAAGCAUAUUUAUGUGAACCAUCUGUUCCAGUCAAACGGUCCUGACCAGUUUGGCAUCAACAACAAGAACCUGUUCCAGGAGGACAGCCAGCCUGCCAACUCUGACGUGCCCCCCGCCCUGCCGCCUAAAACGGGUACUCCAACUAGACCGCCUCCCCCACCUCCAGGUAAGAGAGCGUCCGUCUCUAGGACAGAGUCCUCCGACUCCUUCAAGCGGCGAGGACACUUCCUUCAGACCUCUGGAGACUUCUCCUCCUCUUCCUCCUCCUCCCUGCCUGCCAAGGACCCUUUAGCCGACCCCUUCGCCCCCUCCUCCCCUCCUCGCCACAACGUGCGGGAAGCUGAUCGAUUUGCCAGCUUUGACAAAGUGAGCACCUCCCUCUCCCCAUCUCCCUCACCUCCUCCUGAAUGUCAAUAGCCACACCCUCUUCUCUUUAUUUUUCUGCUCAUUAAUCACAUCUGGUUCUCCAAGAAUGUGCAACUAAGCCUUCAUGAAUCGGUCCAUUCACUGCCAACAGAUCCCCAGAGAAGACAAAUAAAGAUUUUAUGUGUCGAUGCACAAGGUUGCCUGUUUCCUUAAUUAUAGAUAUAUAUUUAUGUCUGCCAACAUUUAUUGAAGCUAGCUGAUGAAAUCUUGUGUGUUUUGAAUCCUCACUGCUGCUGUUUUUAUAUUUUAGCUUCCUAAUAACAGUGCUGUUGCUUUGCAUUGUUAAAAAUAUUUCUCAUUUAUUUCUGGGAUUCCACUUCGUUUAACUCUUCUGGUUGCCCUCCUUAUUUUGUUAUAAAGAUUAUAAAUAGUUUAAUAUAUUUAACCUGCAGUUAGAUUGCAUUUAUCUGUAGGCACAAAACACAAGUCGUGGUGCCAGUCGUUAUUGACAUAUUGACUCGUGUUUGGCAGUGAAUGGAAAGAUGGAAACCUGCUUGAAUGUGACUUUUGUUUGCCAUCCCAACUCAGCACAUUGACUUCACACCCUGUUCAUGUGCGAGCAAGUCAAAGUUAUUUACAAGAUAAAAAAACACAUGUUGCGUUUAAACUGCCUUUUUCAAGAUUUUAUUCCACUUUUAUCCUUGGAAUUGACUGAAUUUUAAUAGCUACAGCAUUCAUCCAGCAGGUUACUCUGUUUUAUGCCGCAUCAGGUCGACAGUGAUGAAAAAGUUUCAGUAGUCGGUGACCUACAGGCCUAAAGUUCAGCACGAGGGAAAAACUCCUUCAGCCUGUGAGCUUUGAUUCAACUAACUAUCAAAACCAGAGUACAAACAUUGAGCUUCACAUGGAGCUGCUCAGGCUGCAAGGCCUGCAUUUUUCAACUGAAUCGCUUUUAAAACGUUAUGAAUUUAAACGUAAAACGACUUCAUUUGGAUCAACCAAGAGGUUGAGCUUUCGCUGAAACUAAAUACUUUUCUAACGGUGCCAUUUUACUAACUACAGCUCUGCUCCUGUAACACAGCAAAAAAAAAAAAAAAAUGGGUGGUCAAGCUGUGAUUUUUGGGAUGGAUGGCUGCAUUUCAUUCUUGAUUUUUCGAUGCCUCUGUUAUCACGUUACCCCACCUGCAUGCCUCUGUCGAACCCUAAGCUACACAAACUAACCUCCUCCGACUGGCUGCCUCAAUCGUCCCCCAAAUCAUUUGUUUUCCUCUUCACCCACGCUGCUGUUCAUUAACUCAUGCGUCUCCUCCUGUCCAUCCAACCGUCAUCCAUUCAUCAACUUAUUUCACUCUCAGCUCUCAUCUGAUCAGCAUUGUGUGGUUGCUUGUAUUCUUUGUGUGUUUAUGUGUUUGUUAUAAAGAAAUGUUUAAUAAAGUGUUGAAUCAUA